GGGUUGGCUCACCUAUGGGUGCGGGUAGCGGUCUGUAAAACCGCCGCUUAAUUGCUUUGCUGGUUCAAAUCUAGCCCAACCCA
rnacentral:tRNA from 1 species